rnacentral:tRNA from 1 species
UUCCUGGUGGUCUAGUGGUUAGGAUUCAGCACUUGCACCACUGUGGCCCAGGUUCAACCCCUGGCCUGGGAA